rnacentral:lncRNA from 1 species
GGCUUGUAGUUUCAGAGUCAAAGUUUUGCUGGCUCCAUUCCUUCUGGGACUGAGUUAAGGCAGCACAUCACAGAAGAUUGUGACAGAGGAAAGAUGUUCACCUCAUGGAAUCCAGGAGGCAGAGAGACAGGGAACAAGGAAGAGAAGAAGGAGCUAGGGCUCAGAUGCAGUUCCCAAGGUCAAGGCCUCAUGGCCACUUCCUUGAACUAGGACCCACUUCUUUACCUCCUAGGAAUGCCAGGAAAUGACUAUGAUCUCAUCAAUGGAUUAAUCCGCUAAUGAAGUUAGAACCCUCAGGAUCAUCACCUUCCAAAAGCCCCACCUGUGAACACAUGAGAAUUUGGGGGACACCGUAGAUCUGACUUGUAACACAUACCAUGAAUGGCAUUGCCACUGAGAUGAGAUUUCCCCAGUGGCACAAGAACAAGAAGACUGGAAGAAAUAUAUUACCGGUACAGACAUGUUGGAGAUGAAACUGGAAGACAUCCUGGAAUCCAUCAACAGCAUCAAGUCCAGACGUUUCACUCUCCUGAUAUCUCUGGAAGACCCAAGCCCAGAACAUCACUGCUCAUCACCCAGGACUCUGCCAUGAGUGACCUGACUUCAGUGUCUUCACCCAUGAGGGAUGGGACAGGCAGCUGGUGGGGGCAGGUCUGGGGCUUCAGAAGGGUCCCUCCAUGGGUCUCCUGUUCUUGAGACAGAAAAAGGCCUCUAGGGGUCUGCGGAUAGGUUCUAUUUUCUCUAUAUUACUGGGAACACGCUGCUCAUGAAAAAUAUAGCAUUUAAAGGAAUGAACCUUACCUCAAACUGGUUUAGCUUGCCUGUAAGGUAAGGUGAUAGAAGCAGAAUGGCUAUUCAUUUCAUAGUUCAAGCAAGGUGAUGCCAUAUAUAUGCUAUCCAUGUGUAUACACAUGUCUACAUUAGCACAUAAUGUGUGGAUGUGUCUAUAUAUCUAUAAUGAAGAAUGACAUAAGCACUGAGUAAAUGCUUACCAG